UAACGUGUGUUGGCUUAGAAAUA
rnacentral:piRNA from 1 species